AUGAUUCUACCACACUUCCUAAUUCCACCUAGAGAAUUCUCAAGCAAUCCACAGAAUUUUAUUCAAAUCGCCCUUAUGCUCACAAUGCUAACUGAUGUCUCAGCAGAACACUGGAACUCAGUUGCUGCUCAGGUUUCCUUUGGAUCUGACGUCCUCCACUGGUACCAGACCUGGGAACCAGACCUUCACCUCCCUAAUCAGUGAGGGACUAUCACAGAACUAUCCACACUGAAGACAAUUCAUAACACGGUCAACAGGAAAACUACUUCCCUGAAAUUGUGAGCAGCUGGAGUUCUGGUUUUAGAUGAGGAAGCAAAGGCUUGAUGAAGAUGGCAAGUAACUUGUCUAAGGUGAUAGAUCAUGAAAAAAUGGAGUUGAGAGUUGAGUGGAGUUUGAACUGAUGUCUGUCUCAUUCCAAAGAGCAGCAGGGAGAAAUAGGAACCUUCCUCAUCCCACUUAGGAAAAGUGCAACCCGCUGGAGAGAGACAGAGGGACUCGGAGGAAGGAGAGAGAGAAGAGGUUGGAAUGAAAGAAAAUGGAAAAACUGUCAGGCUGAACCUUCACACUUAAGAUCAGGGUUCAAACUAGAAGACGAUAAAAACAAAAGAGAAAAGAAAGCCAACACCAUCCCAGGAGUAACACAUCCUCUUAGAUCACUGCAAAAGCCUACAGAAGUCAUUAUGGAUUAACCUUGCCUGAUAUUUCCAGUGAAUUCUCCAUAGCAUCAAGCACAAAUGAUCGCCUAGGACAGUGGCGGCUUCUGAGAACGCACAGGAAAGUGACCAGGGAAAGAAUGAUUCCAUCUCCAGGAAUCCCUGGUGCUCUUCAGAACCCAGACAGGCCCCUGCUGGGUCAUGGUAACUAAGAAACUAGAAGCAGAUACGGUGGUCCCUAUGCUGGCAACCUCAGCUGAAGAGGAACAACUCUCUCUAUAAUCAAGUUACCAAGAAUAAAGAGCAAGUGCAAAUUA